rnacentral:rRNA from 1 species
GACGAACGCUGGCGGCGUGCCUAAUACAUGCAAGUAGGACGCAGUUGCGAACGGGUGAGCAACGCGUAGGUAACUACCUACUAUAGGGGGAUAACUCUUGGAAACGAUAGCUAAUACCGCAUACUAGUAGGUGGACCUGCGUGGUAUUAGCUAGUAGGUAGGGUAAUGGCCUACCUAGGCAACGAGACAUAGCCGACCGUGGAGGGGGAUCGGCCACACUGGGACUGGGACACGGCCAAGACGCCUACGGGAGGCAGCAGUAGGGAAGCUUCGGCAAUGGGGGGAAACCUGACCCAGCAACGCCGCGUGAGUGAAGAAGGUUUUCGGAUCGUAAAACUCUGUUAGUAGGGAAGCGGUACCUAAUCAGAAAGCAACGGCUAACUACGUGCCAGCAGCCGCGGUAAUUC